GGCGCCGUAGCUCAGUGGCAGAGCGGACGUUUCAUAAGCGUCAUGUCGGUGGUUCGAUUCCCCCCGGCGCCA
rfam:Elusimicrobia bacterium GWA2_66_18 gwa2_scaffold_11, whole genome shotgun sequence.